rnacentral:rRNA from 1 species
UCUACGGGUGGCUGCAGUGGGGAAUAUUGCACAAUGGGCGCAAGCCUGAUGCAGCCAUGCCGCGUGUGUGAAGAAGGCCUUCGGAUUGUAAAGCACUUUCAGCGGGGAGGAAGGCGGUGAGGUUAAUAACCUCAUCGAUUGACGUUACCCGCAGAAGAAGCACCGGCUAACUCCGUGCCAGCAGCCGCGGUAAUACGGAGGGUGCAAGCGUUAAUCGGAAUUACUGGGCGUAAAGCGCACGCAGGCGGUCUGUCAAGUCGGAUGUGAAAUCCCCGGGCUCAACCUGGGAACUGCAUUCGAAAAUGGCAGGCUAGAGUCUUGUAGAGGGGGGUAGAAUUCCAGGUGUAGCGGUGAAAUGCGUAGAGAUCUGGAGGAAUACCGGUGGCGAAGGCGGCCCCCUGGACAAAGACUGACGCUCAGGUGCGAAAGCGUGGGGAGCAAACAGGAUUAGAUACCCCAGUAGUC